AGCUCCAAUAGCGUACAUUUAAUUUGUUGUGGUUAAAAAGCUCGUAGUUGGAUUUCGGCGGGUAUUGGGCGGUUUUAAAUGCUUCAAUACUUACUUUUUUACCCGUGUGUUUUUCCAGAAUUUUUCGGGGGUCCUUAACCGAUUUUCCGUUUGAACUGGCUGGUUUACUUUGAAAAAAUUAGAGUGCUCAAAGCAAGCUUGACUGCUUGAAUAUUCGUGCAUGGAAUAAUAGAAUAGGAAGUUGUUUCUAUUUUGUUGGUUCUCGGAAAUCGACUUAAUGAUUAAUAGGGAUAGUCGGGGGCAUUUGUAUUCAAACGACAGAGGUGAAAUUCUUGGACCGUUUGAAGACAAACUACUGCGAAAGCAUUUGCCAAGAAUGUUUUCA
rnacentral:rRNA from 1 species